rnacentral:lncRNA from 1 species
AACUCCCAGACAGAAAAAAGAAGAAAAAUAAGAAGAGGAUUUUCCUCUUUAUCUCUUCAUCGCCUUCUUUCUCUCACGCAAAAAAACCCUAUCCACCACUCUAAUCAUCAAACCCUCGCUGUUUCACAAUCUCAUCACCGUGCGAAACCUUCAUCAUCGGCGAAUCCGACUCUCCAUUUUCACGCCAUACCACCUUCAAUCGUUCAUUCACCAGCUCCACCAUCAAAACCCUCACGAAGAACCCUUGUCUCCACUCGGUAUCCAUCUUCAUCACCCUCCGUCCUUCUCCUCACCGUGCGCCGCUCAACAACACAAACACCGUUUCACUACCAAACACGAUCGGCAACCCUUUAACCCUAAAUUACCGCCGUUCAACCUCGCGAUCUCAAACCCCUGCCGUCGAAAUCACGACCGUAAUCAAAAACCCACGUCACCACCAACUCGCGCGAUUUCUUCUCCACAG